UCCUGGCUCAGAUUGAACGCUGGCGGCAUGCUUUACACAUGCAAGUCGAACGGCAGCACGGGUGCUUGCACCUGGUGGCGAGUGGCGGACGGGUGAGUAACGCGUGGGAAUCUACCCUAGAGCGGGGGACAACCCGGGGAAACCCGGGCUAAUACCGCAUACGUCCUACGGGAGAAAGAGGGCCUCUGCUUGCACGCUCUCACUCCAGGAUGAGCCCACGUCCGAUUAGCUAGUUGGUAGGGUAAAGGCCUACCAAGGCCACGAUCGGUAGCUGGUCUGAGAGGAUGAUCAGCCACACUGGGACUGAGACACGGCCCAGACUCCUACGGGAGGCAGCAGUGGGGAAUAUUGGACAAUGGGCGCAAGCCUGAUCCAGCAAUGCCGCGUGUGUGAAGAAGGCCUGCGGGUUGUAAAGCACUUUCAGUGGGGAAGAACAGAUUCGGGUCAAUACCCCGGAGCCCUGACGUUACCCACAGAAGAAGCACCGGCUAACUCCGUG
rnacentral:rRNA from 1 species